GACGAACGCUGGCGGCGUGCUUAACACAUGCAAGUCGAACGGAAAGGCCCUGCUUGCAGGGUACUCGAGUGGCGAACGGGUGAGUAACACGUGGGUGAUCUGCCCUGCACUUCGGGAUAAGCCUGGGAAACUGGGUCUAAUACCGGAUAGGAGCCAUUUUUAGUGUGAUGGUUGGAAAGUUUUUUCGGUGUAGGAUGAGCUCGCGGCCUAUCAGCUUGUUGGUGGGGUAAUCGCCUACCAAGGCGGCGACGGGUAGCCGGCCUGAGAGGGUGGACGGCCACAUUGGGACUGAGAUACGGCCCAGACUCCUACGGGAGGCAGCGGUGGGGAAUAUUGCACAAUGGGCGCAAGCCUGAUGCAGCGACGCCGCGUGGGGGAUGACGGCCUUCGGGUUGUAAACUCCUUUCGCUAGGGACGAAGCUUUUUGUGACGGUACCUAGAUAAGAAGCACCGGCUAACUACGUG
rnacentral:rRNA from 1 species